UGAGGUCAGCGAGAGAAGAGUCCUCGCCAUGGAGCAGACGACAGCAGCCUUCCAGCAGAUACUAUACAUUCCAUAUAGCAAUACGAAAACUUCACCGAAAGCGUAACAGACAUUAACGGCCACAUAGCAACGAUAGCCGCGAGAGACCAAAAAUCUUGAGUCCCCGAAAAUUCAUGGUUUACUACGCACCGAAUAAAAGUCUCUAGACAUUAUAAUAUAACUCAUAUUAGGAGCAACAGUUCGCGAUUUAACCUAGCUUUGACUUUCCGUCACUAUCGGUUUGUUUUCGAGAACAUCAUAACAUCCAUAAAGGUGAAUGUGUGACUUUCAGUCAGGAAUACUCUUAUAAACUAUGAAGAAAUAUUUGGUCAUUUAGUUUUCGACCGUGCUUAUGAUCGCACUUUACCUUGCAAUAUACUCAUUGAUAAUAUAUGCUUAAUUUUCCGAGCAAUGUUUGUUAUUUGUGCAAAUAUUGUGUAAGAAACAUCGAAAUAUUAUAACUCACCAAGAAAGCAAACUAUCAGUUUAUUAAAGCAAUAUUCUCAAAAAUGCUGCCAAGUUUUCUGGAAAAUGUGUAGUGUGCCGCUGACAAGACGUGAAUUAUUCACAAUUCAAGUUCAAAUGAUUUCUGCAAUUAAAGAAGAAGUACAAAAUUAUGCAACUGUUGGCGUGCAUGUUGGAGAAAUAAAAGGACAGAGGGCAAUCGAACUUUUUGUGAAGAUCACAAAAAACUUUUGGUCAAAGAGAAUUAUACAAAUUUUCAAUGUCGAGUGGAAUUAAUGCGAAUUUACGUCAGAUUAAAUAUUGGUUCAUCGAGACACAAAAAUUAUUAAAAAUUUCACCUUAUAUGGUAAAUGAAGGACAACGCAUGUUCUUUAAAAAAAUGCAAACACUGCCUAUCUUCGAGUUUGA